GUCGUACGCACAGCAAUGUGAGUGGCGCAAGGGUGAGUAAUGCGAAGGUAACCAACCCUGGAGUUGGGCAUAGCCGCGGGGAACUGCGGGUAAUUCCCAGCGAUGUUACGAGGUGGCAUCAUCUUGUAACCAAAGGUGUGAUUCCGCUCUGGGACGGGCCUUCGUGGUAUUAGCUAGUUGGUAAGGUAACGGCUUACCAAGGCUACGAUGCCUACCGGGUGUGAGAGCAUGACCCGGCACACUGGAGCUGAAACACUGUCCAGACACCUACGGGUGGCUGCAGUCGAGAAUCUUCGGCAAUGGGCGAAAGCCUGACCGAGCGACGCCGCGUGAGGGAUGAAGGCCUUCGGGUUGUAAACCUCUUUCGUAGAGGAGGAAGGGGCUGUGAAGAGCAGUCCUUGACCUAUUCUAGGGGAGAAGCUUGGGCUAAGUUCGUGCCAGCAGCCGCGGUAAGACGAACCAAGCGAACGUUAUUCGGAAUUACUGGGCUUAAAGCGCGUGUAGGCGGAUGGCCACGUCGGUUGUUGAAAUCCCCCGGCUUAACCGGGGAACAGGCACCGAUACGAGUUAUCUGGAGGUGGGUAGGGGAGACUGGAACUUCCGGUGGAGCGGUGAAAUGCGUUGAGAUCGGAAGGAACGCCUGCGGCGAAAGCGAGUCUCUGGCCCCAUACUGACGCUGAGACGCGAAAGCCAGGGGAGC
rnacentral:rRNA from 1 species